UACGUAGGGAGCAAGCGUUGUUCGGAUUUACUGGGCGUAAAGGGUGCGUAGGCGGCUUUGUAAGUCAGUGGUGAAAUAUGGCAGCUCAACUGUCAGGGUGCCAUUGAUACUGCGGAGCUUGAGUACAGAUGAGGUAGGCGGAAUUGACGGUGUAGCGGUGAAAUGCUUAGAUAUCGUCAAGAACACCGAUAGCGAAGGCAGCUUACUGGGCUGUAACUGACGCUGAGGCACGAAAGUGUGGGGAUCAAACAGG
rnacentral:rRNA from 1 species